GAUGAACGCUGGCGGCGUGCCUAAUACAUGCAAGUCGAGCGAACAGACGAGGAGCUUGCUCCUCUGACGUUAGCGGCGGACGGGUGAGUAACACGUGGAUAACCUACCUAUAAGACUGGGAUAACUUCGGGAAACCGGAGCUAAUACCGGAUAACAUGUUGAACCGCAUGGUUCAACAGUGAAAGACGGUCUUGCUGUCACUUAUAGAUGGAUCCGCGCCGCAUUAGCUAGUUGGUAAGGUAACGGCUUACCAAGGCAACGAUGCGUAGCCGACCUGAGAGGGUGAUCGGCCACACUGGAACUGAGACACGGUCCAGACUCCUACGGGAGGCAGCAGUAGGGAAUCUUCCGCAAUGGGCGAAAGCCUGACGGAGCAACGCCGCGUGAGUGAAGAAGGUCUUCGGAUCGUAAAACUCUGUUAUUAGGGAAGAACAAAUGUGUAAGUAACUAUGCACGUCUUGACGGUACCUAAUCAGAAAGCCUCGGCUAACUACGUG
rnacentral:rRNA from 1 species